CGCGAAGAAAUCAGUAGCUGGAACUCAUCAACGGAAAAGACGAUCGAGGUUGUUCGACAGAUAAAAAGAUACUAACAAAACGCCAAUCGAAGCGUGAAAAUCUGGCUAUUUCUGUCAGGCUCCUGUUUCUGUCAACUCUGCCAGCUAAAACUUAGCUAAGAAGUCAACAAUUUUAUUCAGCCUUUACUGAAAGAAGUGGGAACAUAUUUAGAUCUGGAAUCCUAGUUUCUUUGCACACCGAGAAGGGGAUAAUUGUGAAGCUCUCCUUUCGUUCGAUAGAGCCGAGAUGGCUUGCAAGUGUUGUUAUAGCAACCUUAUUAUAUUCCCACGAUCCCGCGAAAACCUUAAAUCUUUUAACAAUACUCAUGAACCAACAGUAAUUGUCCAACUGUCACGAACAGGAGCUGUAGGAACAAAGGCAGGCUUCUAUACUUCUAAAUGUCUUGGAGGAGUUGAUUAUCUAUAAUAUGUCUCGUCUGUCAAGUGUCGGUUUUUGAUGCCGGGUAAGAAUCAAAGAUCGGGAGAGGCAUCUUGGCAGGGAAUUGUGUUAAAUUAUCAGUUUUUGGUAUCUGGCCAAACUUCAAGUUAAUGAUCUCGCCGAGUCUAAAUGCGUCGUUGUAAACAAAUAUUGCGUUGGCAAACUCAAUAUGGCAAGGUUAAAGGUCACUCAUAACAUUAGUACACAAAGGAAAGCAUUUGGGAUCCCACACGGACAGCAACACUGAGGAGAAAAACUUAAAUGACUCAACGAGAACCAACUUUCUUCCAUUCGUUUCCUUUUUGCGACGGAAACUGAUAGAUUACGCAAAGCAAGGAGCUUAAAAAAACAAGCUGUGUUAACGUCCCUGGCAGCUUACAGUAUUUUGUUGAGAGCAAACGCGUGAUAAGCACUUCUCAAAGAAAACUUAUAUCACAUCUGAUAUACGGAUCCAGACAAACCUGCUUACUAACCUACCAAACAGGCCUCUUCACCGAUACUAAGUCCUCAUCUAACAAAAAAAGAAUUGUUGUUAUUUUUGGCCAGGAAAAUAUUGAAUUAUGUACGGCUGUUACAUUCAAAGUAAAGUGAAUUUCGAAAUCUUCA